UGGAGAACGGCGAGGCUGCCUGCACAUCCUGGCCAACUACCUUGUGACGAAAAGGAAAACGCAGUUUUGUGGAAAUGGCAGCUCUAAAACAGUCUUGCUGUGGCUGUUCCCUCAAGACGGGUACCAAAAUAAUUGCCGUCAUAUAUCUGGUCGCCAGUGUGUUCGAGAUAGGAAUGGCAGCGAUAUGUCUGCAUGAGAACUACAGCAACGCCAUGGACAAAUGUAGGAGGUUCCCACAUGAUGAGAAUUUUCAAGUUGUUGUUUUGGAUUUCAGUAGCGAGGAUUCCGGCUACUGCAACAA